CUCUCCCUCUCGGUCUCGGUCUCGGUCUCCCUGUCUCUGUCUGUGUCUCUGUCUCUGUCUCUGUCUCUCUCUCUCUCCCUCUCCCUCUCUCGGUCUCGGUCUCGGUCUCUCUCUCUCUCUUCUCUCUCCCUCUCCCUCUCUCUCUCCCUCUCCCCCUUGCUGUCUCUCUUGCACUCCCCUCUCCUCCUGUUCUAAAGGUCCAUUUCCCAGCAGCUUUUAAACUUCACUUACCUCCAGUGUGUCUGAUGCUUGGUGCGAUGGCUGCUGGUGUGUUUAGCCUGCUGUGUUGAACACUGCUCAUUGAGAUGCUAAAUUACAGUGUGUGUGUGUGUGUGUGUGUGUGUGUGUGUGUGUGUGUGUGUGUGUGUGUGUGUGUGUGUGUGUGUGUGUGUGUGUGUGUGUGUGUGUGUAUCAAAGAGACGGAAGCACAGUACACAGGCCGGUAUUACGAGAUGCACGAAGCGCAGUAAUUACUGCGUAGAAUCACACACUGCUGCUUCACCUGCAGGCGCACACUGAGACAACACACACCACACACGCACGUACCCACAUUCAGGCAGGACUACUCACCCACACACAUGUGUGUACAUGUACAGAUACAAUAUGUGCAGGGACACACGUACACACAAGUAUGCAAACUCAUACACAGUCAUGGAUACACAUACACAAAUGUACGUUAAUGCACACAGCACCAUGCUUAGUUACAUAUGUACACAAACCCAUGUACAUCACAUGUAUCCAAGCAAACCUUCACACAUGAAUAGACAUUUACUGAUGCACAGGCAUGGAAAUGCAUGGGAAACAACACACACACACACACACAUAGGGAUACACACACAUGCCCACAGGGAUUGACACACACACUCACAACCGUGCGCACACACACACGUUCAUGCACGCACACGCGGAUACGUGUGCACAUACACAGGAAUGCAUGCGCGCACACACAGGGAUAGGAACGUACACAGACACACACACACACAGUGAUACACACAAACAACUCAGAUGACUACACAGAAAUGCAUACACACUUGAAAAGGUUUCUGUUGAAUUUCAAAACAGAACAGUGGGAGGCGAUAGGUCAAUUAAACGACUGGAAAGACGACUAAGAGAAAGGGGGAGGGAGGAGGAGGGAGAGAGGAGAGGGGGAAGAGCGUUUGGAAAGGGAAAUGUAUUUGACAGAGACAGGCGCGGGGAGAGUAUCAGGCAGGAGGGACUGGGCUCUGCUGGAGUGUGUUUCCACUGCUGAUCCAUGGACCCAGUGAUCUCCAAUGCCCGCAGGUAGGGAGCCGCGCUUCUCUUCUCUUGGAAACGAUUUUAACGCUUGAAAGGUCCCACUUAAACCUUGGUGAAGGUUUCUAAAAAGAGGGAAACCAACAAGAAGAUGUAAGGAGGUGAGGUGUGAUUUUGUUUCACUAGUGAAAUCCGUCUGAAAUACGGUUUGUUGGCUCUUCUUCAUUUAUACUACAUUUUCUUACGCUAAUCGAAAUAAACAUUGUACACAUCCUCCUAAAACAGUGCUGUUGGAGGGAGUGUUUGUGUGUGCGUGCAGGUGUAUGUGUGUGUGUGUGUGUGUAUGUAUAUGUGUCUGUGUGUGUGUGUUUGUGUCAGUGAGUUAAAGUAGGUGUGCGUGCAGGUGUGUGUGUGUGUGUGUGUGUGUAUGUGAGAGAGUGUAGGUGUGUGAUGAUUUAUUUUCCUCCUCUUGUAGUCAAAGGUUAGAGUUUCCCAGUUAAGGUCAGACCUUUUUAGAAGUGUGUGCUACAAUGACCUGUGAUCUGGCGGUUUCAUCAAACCAGGCUAGCUCUGCCGCUAAAACGGGCUCACAUCUGAAAGCCAUAUCUUGGCUUAUAUCCAAUACCAGUAUCAGGCUAAACUUGGAUCCAGAAGUCUGACCAUGCUAUAGCUAACAUUUUCCCUUGCCUCUGCAGGGAGAUAGCAGGUGAGAGGGGUGGAGGUCACGCAGGGUUUCCUGUUUACAUAUACAGGUCUACAUCAGCUGCGUCAGUGGUGAUAGCGGUGUAGAAGUCGUUCUCACGUAUGCCAACAGGUCCCGUUAACUCUAAGAGCG
ensembl:lncRNA